rnacentral:rRNA from 1 species
GAUGAACGCUAGCGAUAGGCUUAACACAUGCCAGUCGAGGGGCAGCACAAGGUAGCUUGCUAUCUGGGUGGCGACCGGCGCACGGGUGCGUAACGCGUAUGCAACUUGCCCUAUACAGGAGGAUAACCCGUCGAAAGACGGACUAAUACUGCGAAUGCUCACAACUUGGCAUCAAGUGGUGAGGAAAGAAAUUCGGUAUAGGAUAGGCAUGCGUCCCAUUAGCUUGUUGGUGAGGUAACGGCUCACCAAGGCAACGAUGGGUAGGGGAACUGAGAGGUUUAUCCCCCACACUGGUACCGAGACACGGACCAGACUCCUACGGGAGGCAGCAGUGAGGAAUAUUAGUCAAUGGGCGCGAGCCUGAACCAGCCAAGUCGCGUGAAGGAUGACUGUCUUAUGGAUUGUAAACUUCUUUUAUACGGGAAAAACAAGAGUCACGUGUGACUCCCUGCAUGUACCGUAUGAAUAAGCAUCGGCUAACUACGUG